ACCCUAAACAUUGAAGACAAGCCGUUUUCUCCUUCUCCUUCUCCUUCUCCUUCUCCUCCUCCUUUUUCCUCUCUUCCCGUGCGCUUCCUUCUCCCUUCUCCUCCGCGCUGCCUUCGCCUCUCCCCACAAGCAGCAGCCUCCGCGUUCGCUUCUCCUCGCAAGCAGCAGCAAGGCUGCGUUUUCCUCCCAUUCUGCAGUAAAGGCGGCCGCUACCAGCAGCCACGGCCAGGCGCGUGGUGUCCCUCUCAACCGUCUAGUCUUUACUCCUUCUCUUGUUACCCCAUUGUUCCCAGUUUAUAAGAGGAAAGUAGACCCUUAGUUGGGUGAUUUUUGUAACUUGUGGUCGUGCAGUGACGCUUACAGCAGGAGGAUCAUAACUUGGCAUGACAGACUCAUUUUCUGUUUGAUGUUGAUGUAGUUGAUCAGUAAGAUGGCAUCUUUGCUGUUUAGGGGACUACCAAUCCGUCCUUUGUGUAUUUACCCUUGCUCACUGUUGACUAAUAAAGUGGGUGUGUUUUACUGCACAGCCAAAGCCAAUAACCUACAUACCCAAAGUGCAUCUACACAAGAUAAGCCAAAGUCACAAUCUAAGGCUAUAACUCGAAACCAAGACAAAAUACUUGAUAACAUAUUGAAAGACUAUGAGGCAAUCAUUGGCAUAGAAACCCAUGUCCAAUUAUCCACUAUAACUAAGGCCUUCUGUGGAUGUGCCUACAAUUAUGGUUCACAACCGAACACAAACAUUUGCCCUGUUUGCAUGGGAUUGCCAGGUGCUUUGCCAGUUUUGAACUCCAAGGUCAUUGAAUCUGCUGUGAGACUUGGUCUUGCGCUUAAUUGCAAGUUAUCCUUAAACUCAAAGUUUGAUAGGAAGCAGUAUUUUUACCCUGAUUUGCCAAAGGGCUACCAGAUUUCUCAGUUUGAUGUUCCGAUUGCGAGUAAUGGGUAUAUAGAAUUGGAUCUCCCUCUUGAGUUUGGUGGGGGGCAUAGAAGAUUUGGGAUAACUCGAGUUCAUAUGGAAGAGGAUGCCGGGAAACUACUACACACCGAGGGUGGGAGUCAUUCUCAGGUUGAUCUAAAUAGGGCUGGAGUACCAUUACUUGAGAUCGUCUCCGAACCUGAUAUGAGAAGUGGCAUAGAAGCUGCAGAAUAUGGAGCAGAAUUGCAGAGGUUAGUUAGGUACUUGGGCGUGUGCAAUGGAAAUAUGCAAGAAGGCUCACUACGUUGUGAUGUUAAUAUCUCAGUCCGUCCUAGAGGGCAAGCCGAGUUUGGUACAAAGGUCGAAAUAAAAAAUCUAAACUCAUUUUCAGCAAUAAACAGGGCCAUUGAUUAUGAGAUCAUAAGGCAAGUGCAACUUCAUAAUCAAGGCCAAGCUGACCAAAUUGUACAAGAGACUCGUCUUUGGGAGGAUGGUGCUCAGAAAACAGUAACCAUGAGAAAGAAGGAAGGGCUUGCUGAUUAUAGAUAUUUCCCUGAGCCAGACCUGCCAGAAGUAACUUUGACAAAGGAAUACAUAGAGAGCAUUCGUGCUUCUUUGCCAGAACUUCCAGAUUUGAAGAGACGCCGGUAUGAACAAAUGGGCUUAAGCAUGCAGGAUGUGCUUUUUCUUGCUAAUGAUGUCAAUGUUGCAGAUUUUUUUGAUUCAACCAUAUCUAAAGGUGUUGAUGUAAAGCUAGCUGCUAAUUGGAUCAUGGGCGACAUUGCAGCUUACAUGAAGAAUGAAAAGGUGUCCAUGAAUGAGAUAAAGCUCACUCCUGAUGAGUUAGCUGCACUGAUUGAUUCCAUUAAAAAUGGGACUAUCAGUGGCAAAAUUGGUAAAGUGAUACUGUUUGAGCUAAUAGCCAAAGGAGGAACUGUCAAGGGGAUCAUCAAGGAAAAGAAUUUGGUCCAGAUAACUGAUCCUGGUGAGAUAGAGAAGAUGAUUGAUAAAGUGCUUGCUGAAAAUCCGAAGCAAGUUGAACAAUACCGCGCAGGCAAGACAAAGCUGCAAGGUUUUUUUGCUGGCCAGGUAAUGAAAGAAUCGAAAGGCAAGGCAAACCCGGGUGUCUUGAACAAGAUGCUCCUCGAAAAGCUCAACGCCAAGAGCUGAUAGUUGCACAGAGCGGUACAAAUGAAGUCUUUCUUUUCACAGUCAUCAUGUCUCAUGAUUUGGUUUUUCUCGGGCUGAAUGUGCUCCGGCUUUUUUGGUGGGGAAGACGCUCCCAUGAUUGCAGGAAUCGAUUCUUUGGUUUCGGAGUUUUACCACAGGUUUUUGUUUUCUGAAGCCAUCGGAUUGCAAAUAACGUCAAAGGCCAUAGCCAUAGGAGCAGAUGCAUUAGUUCUGUGCAUUUGUAGUGUUUAUUUCAAAAGUUUUGCAAGAGUUAUUUGUAAAAUUAAUUAAUAAAAGCGUGUUAUAAGUUAUAACUAUUUUUUAUGAACUCAAAAUAAUUUAUUUGCAUUGUACUAAUUAUGAAGAAUUGUGGAAUAAGGUUCUAAUUUAUUUAUUGAAGAAACGAUAACCUUUCGAA